rfam:Ovis aries breed Texel chromosome 7, whole genome shotgun sequence.
GUCACCUGGGGACCUUGUUCAAUUCAGAUUCUGAUUCAGUAGAUUUACGGUGGGGCCCAAGAUUCUGCAUUUUUAACAAGCUCUCAGGUGAUACUGA